UCGAGGCAACGAGACGUUUAGCCCGCGAGUACUAACAGGUCAAUGCCAC
rnacentral:rRNA from 1 species